GGGCAAUUGGCACAGUGGUAGCGCGCACGCUUCGCAUUAAUCAAUGCUUGCGUGAGGUCCAGGGUUCAAUCCCCUGAUUGUCCA